rnacentral:rRNA from 1 species
CAGGACGAACGCUGGCGGCGUGCCUAAUACAUGCAAGUCGAACGGUCUUUCUAUGGAAGCUUGCUUCCACUGAGAAGAUAGUGGCGAACGGGUGAGUAACACGUGGGUAACCUGCCCAUAAGAGGGGGAUAACAUCCGGAAACGGGUGCUAAUACCGCAUAGUUUUCUUGAUCGCAUGAUCGGGAAAGGAAAGACGGCCUUUGUGCUGUCGCUUAUGGAUGGACCCGCGGCGUAUUAGUUAGUUGGUGAGGUAAUGGCUCACCAAGACGAUGAUACGUAGCCGACCUGAGAGGGUGAUCGGCCACAUUGGGACUGAGACACGGCCCAAACUCCUACGGGAGGCAGCAGUAGGGAAUCUUCCGCAAUGGACGAAAGUCUGACGGAGCAACGCCGCGUGAGUGAAGAAAGGUUUUCGGAUCGUAAAACUCUGUUGUCAGAGAAGAACAAGUUGGAGAGUAACUGCUCCAGCCUUGACGGUAUCUGACCAGAAAGCCACGGCUAACUACGUGCCAGCAGCGGC